rnacentral:rRNA from 1 species
UACGUAGGGGGCAAGCGUUGUCCGGAAUCAUUGGGCGUAAAGAGCGUGUAGGCGGCUCGAUAAGUCUGCUGUGAAAGUCCAGGGCUCAACCCUGGAAGGCCGGUGGAAACUGUCGGGCUAGAGUCCGGGAAGAGGCGACGUGGAAUUCCCGGUGUAGCGGUGAAAUGCGCAGAUAUCGGGAGGAACACCAAUGGCGAAGGCAGCUCGCUGGGACGGUAC